UACGACUGGUGCAAGCGUUAAUCGGAAUUACUGGGCGUAAAGCGCGCGUAGGUGGUUCGUUAAGUUGGAUGUGAAAGCCCCGGGCUCAACCUGGGAACUGCAUCCAAAACUGGCGAGCUAGAGUAUGGCAGAGGGUGGUGGAAUUUCCUGUGUAGCGGUGAACGGCGUAGAUAUAGGAAGGAACACCAGUGGCGAAGGCGACCACCUGUGAUAAUACUGAAACUGAGGGUCUACAGCGUGGGUCGCCAACCGGAUUAGAUAUC
rnacentral:rRNA from 1 species